ACCGCCUCCUGUCAGCUCCUUUAAGUAGACGUCGCGGGGCCUCGCUCAGUCUUUCGGCGACUGUAAGGUUGGAAGAUUCCUGCUGGGCCGAGGACGUAGGAUCACCUUUUCCCUUUCGGCCUUCUCCGAAGCCUUUGAAUAAAAUGGUUUGAUCCCAGCA